GAGACAGCAGUCGCCACGGUAAUACGAAGGGGGCUAGCGUUGCUCGGAAUGACUGGGCGUAAAGGGCGCGUAGGCGGAUUGUUUAGUUAGGCGUGAAAUUCCUGGGCUUAACCUGGGGGCUGCGUUUGAUACGUGUAGGCUAGAGCGGGGAAGAGGGUUGUGGAAUUCCCAGUGUAGAGGUGAAAUUCGUAGAUAUUGGGAAGAACACCGGUGGCGAAGGCGGCAACCUGGUCCUUGACUGACGCUGAGGCGCGAAAGCGUGGGGAGCGAACAGGAUUAGAUACCCCAGUAGUCCCUGUCUCUUAUAC
rnacentral:rRNA from 1 species